rnacentral:hammerhead_ribozyme from 1 species
AUUCAGCUGAUGAGUCCCAAAUAAGAUGAAACGCGCGUUUUAAGU